UGGGGAAUUUUCCGCAAUGGGCGAAAGCCUGACGGAGCAAUACCGCGUGAGGGAGGAAGGCUUUUGGGUUGUAAACCUCUUUUAUAAAGGAAGAACAAAAUGACGGUACUUUAAGAAUCAGCAUCGGCUAACUCCGUGCCAGCAGCCGCGGUAAUACGGAGGAUGCAAGCGUUAUCCGGAAUCAUUGGGCGUAAAGCGUCCGCAGGUGGUUCGUCAAGUCUGCUGUUAAAGACAGAAGCUCAACUUCUGAAAAGCAGUGGAAACUGGGGAACUAGAGUACGGUAGGGGUUGAGGGAAUUCCCAGUGUAGCGGUGAAAUGCGUAGAUAUUGGGAAGAACACCAGUGGCGAAGGCGCUCAACUGGGCCGUAACUGACACUCAGGGACGAAAGCGAGGGUAGCGAAAGGGAUUAGAUACCCCUGUAGUCC
rnacentral:rRNA from 1 species